AUAUUUGACCUAGGUAUGGAGUAA
rnacentral:siRNA from 1 species